rnacentral:rRNA from 1 species
AUUGAACGCUGGCGGAAUGCUUUACACAUGCAAGUCGAACGGCAGCACGGGGGCAACCCUGGUGGCGAGUGGCGAACGGGUGAGUAAUACAUCGGAACGUGCCCGGUCGUGGGGGAUAACGUAGCGAAAGUUACGCUAAUACCGCAUACGAUCUGAGGAUGAAAGCGGGGGACCUUCGGGCCUCGCGCGAUCGGAGCGGCCGAUGUCAGAUUAGGUAGUUGGUGGGGUAAAGGCCUACCAAGCCGACGAUCUGUAGCUGGUCUGAGAGGACGACCAGCCACACUGGGACUGAGACACGGCCCAGACUCCUACGGGAGGCAGCAGUGGGGAAUUUUGGACAAUGGGCGCAAGCCUGAUCCAGCCAUUCCGCGUGCAGGACGAAGGCCUUCGGGUUGUAAACUGCUUUUGUAUGGAACGAAAAGGCUCUGGCUAAUACCUGGGGCUCAUGACGGUACCGUAAGAAUAAGCACCGGCUAACCACGUG